GGCGAUCAGAUACCGCCCUAGUUCUGACCGUAAACGAUGCCAACUAGCGAUCCGCCAGUCGACUCAUCGCUCUGGUGGGGAGCUUCCCGGGAACGAAAGUCUUCCGGUUCCGGGGGAAGUAUGGUUGCAAAGCUGAAACUUAAAGGAAUUGACGGAAGGGCACCACCAGGAGUGGAGCCUGCGGCUUAAUUUGACUCAACACGGGGAAACUCACCCGGCCCGGACACCGUAAGGAUUGACAGAUUGAUAGCUUUUUCAUGAUUCGGUGGAUGGUGGUGCAUGGCCGUUCUUAGUUCGUGGAGCGAUUUGUCUGGUUUAUUCCGAUAACGAGCGAGACUCUGGCCUACUAAAUAGUUGACGCAUUGCCACUGUGCGCACAACUUCUUAGAGGGAUUUUCGGUGUUUUCAACCGCACGAAAUUGAGCAAUAACAGGUCUGUGAUGCCCUUAGAUGUCCGGGGCUGCACGCGCGCUACACUGGCAAACGCAACGUGCCUGUCCUGCCCCGAAAGGAGCGGGUAAACCCCUGAAAUUUUGCCGUGAUUGGGAUCGGACAUUGCAACUAUUGUCCGUGAACGAGGAAUUCCUUGUAGGGGCGAGUCAUCAACUCGUCCCGAAUACGUCCCUGCCCUUUGUA
rnacentral:rRNA from 1 species